AUUGAACGCUGGCGGCAUGCUUUACACAUGCAAGUCGGACGGCAGCACAGAGAAGCUUGCUUCUUGGGUGGCGAGUGGCGAACGGGUGAGUAACAUAUCGGAACGUACCGAGCAGUGGGGGAUAACUAAUCGAAAGGUUAGCUAAUACCGCAUAUAUUCCGAGGAAGAAAGCAGGGGACCAUUUGGCCUUGCGCUGUUUGAGCGGCCGAUAUCUGAUUAGCUAGUUGGUGGGGUAAAGGCCUACCAAGGCGACGAUCAGUAGCGGGUCUGAGAGGAUGAUCCGCCACACUGGGACUGAGACACGGCUCAGACUCCUACGGGAGGCAGCAGUGGGGAAUUUUGGACAAUGGGCGCAAGCCUGAUCCAGCCAUGCCGCGUGUCUGAAGAAGGCCUUCGGGUUGUAAAGGACUUUUGUCAGGGAAGAAAAGGGCGGGGUUAAUACCCCUGUCUGAUGACGGUACCUGAAGAAUAAGCACCGGCUAACUACGUGC
rnacentral:rRNA from 1 species